rnacentral:rRNA from 1 species
GCUCAGCCCUAAACCCAAGCUAUUACCAAACAAAAUAGCUCGCCAGGAAACUACUAGCAAAUGCUUAAAACUCAAAGGACUUGGCGGUGCCCUAAACCCAUCUAGAGGAGCCUGUUCUAUAAUCGAUAAACCCCGAUAUACCUCACCCUCUCUUGCCAAUACAGUCUAUAUACCGCCAUCGUCAGCUCACCCCACAGGGCCAAAAAGUAGGCAAAAUUAUUAUCCAUAAAAACGUUAGGUCAAGGUGUAACACAUGAGAAGGAAAGAAAUGGGCUACAUUCUCUACUCUAGAGCAUAACGAAUCAUCUUAUGAAACUAAGAUGCUUGAAGGAGGAUUUAGUAGUAAAUUAAGAAUAGAGUGCUUAAUUGAAAUAGGCAAUAGGGCGCGC